AGCCUAAACCUAAACCUAAACCUCCGACCAUCUCUCUCAGCCUCAUCUCCCUCUUCCCUUUCCUGGAUCUCUUCCCCUUCCUAGAUCGACGCCCCUUAGGAUCAAAACCACCUGCUUCGAUCCUAAGCAAAAUUGCAGUAUAAAUCGUUCCAUUCUGCCUCCUCGUCCGAUCCUCUCUUCCUCCUCCUCCUCCUUCCUCUCUUCACUCUUCCCGGCUAAGGUAGGGGCCGACAAGAUCCGAACAGCUAGAGGACGCCCACGACCACCAUGGCACGGUUGGUCGGCAACAUGAGGGAAUCCGAAGGAAGAGAGAACAACACCGAGAUCUCUGAUCUUGUGUAAAGGGGUCUCCUUCUUCUGAAGCAGAGAGAUCGAGUGCAGUACAAGAAUAACGAAGUAUGUCUGCCUGUUAAAACCCUAAAAUUGCAGGCAUAAAGGCUCUCUGUGCUUCAUUUUCUCCUUCUCGGCCUCUUCGCUCACUGGGUACACGGUCAAAACCUCUCGUUUCCUCUUUUCAUUCUUCUUAAUCGUCUGAUUGCUAAAGGUUGAGGAUGGGGUUUGGGGUUAACCUCUCUAUAAAGCGCCGAAGCCUUUUCUUUUCCCCCGACUUUCUCCUUCUCGCGACUUCGGACUUCACGCGACCGAGACCGGCGAUUUCUUCUUCUCUCGGUGCCGCCGGCGAAGAGCGGACCUUGGAGCGUUGAGAGGAAGAGAGGUUAGUUACAGCCGAACCUUCUUUCUCCCCGAUCCCUUCCUCCCUUCUCUGAUCUCGGUGAACAACGGCGACGGAUCUCGAUCGGUGGAUUUCGCCGGCUGUCGAGAGGGAACCAAGUGCAUCGGCGUUGGAUCAGGCCAGCAUCGAUUGUUUGGAGGAGGUGGUUCUUUCUGGGAAGCAGAGACUGGUAUUUUGGUCCCGACCACCACAGCUCUGUUGGAUCGAUCUCUUCUUCGUAUCAGUGAUCAUCUCCGGUGAUUGAAGGGUGCAGAGAGGAUGCGAUGUGCUUAUUUUAGAUACUGGAUUGGGAAGUGCAGAGAAUCAAGCAAGGGUCAAGGAGUUGCUUCAUGUGGAGGAAUCAAAACUAGAGGAGGAUGAGGGAAAUACCACUCCAGCAGUGAGAUGGGUUCGAGAUGAUAAAUAUGAUUGCAUCCGAUUAAAGCAUUGCAAGGUUGUGACAAAAAUUGAUUGGCAUCGGAAAGGAGACUAUUUCACUACUGUCGUUCCUAGUGAUAUCCUAAUUAUGAAUUUUAGUUGUACUUAUUUUUAGUCAUUCCUAGUGCCUAUUUUAUAUCUCAGUUUUGUUUCUUUCUUUUUUCUAAUACACACUGACAAAUUGGAAAUAUAUAAAAAUCAUGACAUUAUACCUAGUUACCUAGCCUUUGAGGCUGGAAUCAGGAUGAAACCUAAAGUGCCCUGAAAAGUUUAGGCAUACCAAAUUCUCUCAGUUUAAUGACAGAGGUGUUUUAGAUUAUAAAGUUCAUCCGAGGCAGCCAUGGCUAUUCACAGCUGGAGCAGAUUCUGUCAUUAAACUAUAUUGCCACUAAUGAUAGAUUCUCCAGGAAACUUUGAAGAAUCUCCUCGAGUCAAGAUACGUGAGUACUUGCUGAUCCUACAUGAAUACGGUAGCAAGUUCAUGUUCUUUGCUUGAUAAUUUAUUCUUUUUUGACCAAUUCAUUUCCGCAAACCCCUUACCUGUAAGCACCAACUAGUAUCCUUAUUGUCAAGAAUUAAUUUUAUCAACGACUUAUAAGUUUGGUAUGCAUAUUUCUUAUGAUGUUGAACCUUGACUUUGAGACACAUGAUGGCUUUGUUUUAUUUUUUUUGUUGAAUUUUCUAUCCUGUAAGUUUCAACUCCACUAGUAUCAUGUUUCCAUAGAUGAUGCUGUCUUAGAUGUUGGAGUCGUGACUCAUUCUUUAUACUGAUGUUUCUGUGUGGAAUUUUCCCAGUUGUCCUGUUCAUUGUUUGAUGUUUCUGUGUGUGUUGUAGCUGAAUUUGGUUGUAGCUUCUGCAAGCUUUCUUCACUUUCUUCCCUCCACUAUCUGUUAACAAGUUUGAUCUUUACAAUUCAGUUAUAAGAACAAACAAUAUGACCAAAGGUUGACAGCUUUGCUUCAUCCUUUUUACAUUUCAGUAUGUGGAUGAAAGCAAAUAUGUACUGAUGUACCUAAAUGGAUUUACAAAAAUAUCUUUGAAAUGUUUUGUCAUACAGAUAUGGCAUCUAGUAUAAUUUUUUCCAACUUGAUUGUUGCAUUAUCAUAUAAUGAGAUUAGGUGCACAGCUUGCAGUCAGUUUAUUGUUUUUGCUAAAGAUCAUUGCUAGUAGGCCGACAAAAGACAGGUCUAAAAUGAAGCCUAAGAAAACAUGCUUAAGAUGAUAUUUUAAGAUUUUCUAAACAUUGGAUCGUUGCGGAAGGUUGUGAUUGGCACGGCAAGUGUUCUAAAAUGAAGCCAAAGAAAAUGGGGGAGAAAAUAAGGUUGUGACAAAAAUUGAUUGGCAUCGGAAAGGAGACAAUUUCACUACUGUCGUUCCUAGUGAUAUCCAAAUUAUGAAUUUUAGUUGUACUUUGUAAUGCCCGAAAAUUCUCGAAAUUGCAUUAUGAAUAUUCUAUGAUUUUUCUGGAA